rnacentral:rRNA from 1 species
GACGAACGCUGGCGGCGUGCUUAACACAUGCAAGUCGAACGGAAAGGCCCUGCUUUUGUGGGGUGCUCGAGUGGCGAACGGGUGAGUAACACGUGAGUAACCUGCCCUUGACUUUGGGAUAACUUCAGGAAACUGGGGCUAAUACCGGAUAGGAGCUCCUGCUGCAUGGUGGGGGUUGGAAAGUUUCGGCGGUUGGGGAUGGACUCGCGGCUUAUCAGCUUGUUGGUGGGGUAGUGGCUUACCAAGGCUUUGACGGGUAGCCGGCCUGAGAGGGUGACCGGCCACAUUGGGACUGAGAUAGGGACCAGACUGCUACGGGAGGCAGCAGUGGGGAAUAUUGCACAGUGAGCGGAAGCCUGAUGCAGCAACGCCGCGUGCGGGAUGACGGCCUUCGGGUUGUAAACCGCUUUCGCCUGUGACGAAGCGUGAGUGACGGUAAUGGGUAAAGAAGCACCGGCUAACUACGUG